rnacentral:lncRNA from 1 species
UUGUUCAAAUAAAUGAUAAAAUUAUCUCGGUUCAAAACAAGGCCGCCCAUUCUAAAUGAAGAGAAGUUAUCAUAAAGCGGAAAACAAAAAACAACUACAUUCUUUAUGAAAUUAUAGCGUAUGAAAUAAAACCAUAUUCCCUGAUGUCACAUUUAUCAUAGCAUUUCCCUGGCAGCACAGACUAAGUCUCUUCAUCUCUAGCAUGGAACUCAUCAUAUGUUGGCUCACCUGAAACAAAAUGGCAAUUAGCUCAAACACAAACACACACCGAAAGUGACUUAUCAUAUUUUAAAAUAAAAUACGGAUAAACAAAAAUAUAAGCAAAAUACAUUAUACAAUUAUUUAUAACACAAUUCAACUUAAUACAAUCCACGCCACUUCACCACUUUAUCAUUUAUAAUUCAUCUUUCAAUCACCAAUCGCAUUACACAUGAAUCACACACUAGAGUCAAGAUAUAAUAACACUCACCAAUUUCAUAAUAAACAAUUCACGGGCGUUAUGCAACAAGUAUACUGAGACUCAAGCCUAUAUGUAAUGUGGUACCACACAGGAGUGCUUAAGAGUACAUAACAAGACACGUCACACGAUAAGUAUGUCCGGUCACUCUCACUAAGUAAAAUUAUAAGGUGACCCGUCAGAGUCACUCUGUUUUGCAAGAAUGCUCUAACCACAUGGGAUCAAUAUAGGUUUAAAGGAACACUCAAACUAAGUGUUUCUACCCCCAAGGCCUAGACUCUGAAGAAUCCGUUAAGGCCUUACCUUCUUGAUCCAGGUCCAACCCUAAAAAAUAACUUUUGCACGCAGAUACUAUUCAUGAAUUAUACAAUACACACGACGUUACAUUUGUGUUUCAAACACGUUUAACAUAUUGCGCUACAAUUUAACAUUUCAGGUUCCUAACUUGGAACCUUACACUUUUCUUUUAACACUUCGUGCAUAAACAUUUUUUUCAAGAUAAACAUCAGUUGAAUUAUUGUAUAAUUCAUAACUCACAACAUAAAUAGUAUCAUGUCAAGUAUUAACCACUCACUUAUUCACAACCAUAUCUCAUAUUCAUAAUUUACCAUCCCACAAAUUAACUAACUACAAAAUAUACUUAGCAAAUAAAUAAGCAUAUAUUAUAAUAAUAGGAUAUAUCUAACUUCAAAGCUUAUAAAUAUAUUUAUAUAUAUCAAAUAUAUAUAACACACCACUAUACAAAUAUAUAUAAUACUAAUUAAUAUAUAUAUAUAUAUAUAUAAAUAUAAAAACAUAACAACAUGUUAAAUAUAUAUAUAUAUAUAUAUAUAUAUAUAUAUAACAAUAAAUAUAAAUAUAUUCUUAGAUAAAAAUAAAAAAUAUAUGUAGAUAACUACCAAAAGUUUAUAUACAUAUAUAUAUAUAUAUAUAUAUAUAUAUAUAUAUAUAUAUAUAUGUAUAUCUUAAAUGUAUUUUAACGAAGUCAUGGACAUCCAAUAAUGAAAAACAACAACUUGAUUUUGAGCACUGCACCAUCAUCACGGAAAUUAAUCACAAUUUUUAUUUUAGAAUUAUUUCAGCAGUAAAAUACAAUUUGAUAUAAUUUAUUCAUGACAAAAAAAAAUUAUGAGCAUCUAAAGAAAUUAUACAAUAGAGGAAUAAAAAGAACCCACUCCCCUUAUGGUAAAUUCCUCCUUGCUUAAUUCAUCAAUUAGAAAAAAAUUCAAUUUUAAGGAUUUUCACUCAACAGAGAAACACAUCAAUUUCACAAUAAUUUUACGUUAGGACACCAAUUGGUCCGUCAAACACAAUCAAUCCACGAUUUAAAACAUAAGAACAAAAUUACAUUUUAUAAAACAACCCAAAAUAAUCCAAAAAUUGAUCAUCUAGGAAUUUCUACACAUGUUCAUUAUAAUCCCCAAACGUGAAUAACUCAUCCCUUACCUUGAGGUAGUUGCUCAAGCGCUCUCUAUUAGGAAUGGUGGCGUAUCUGGUGCUCUCUAGAACUCCUCUUCCGAUUACUCUGUUAGUGUUCUUGAGAGUUAGAG